UUAUGAGAUAUCAGAACAAAAAUUGAAAUAAUAAUAAGAAUCAAGCAAUUAAAUGGAGUAUUGCUUGUCCACUGAUUUCAUUCAAUUCACUUAACAGAAAAAUACUGGAAAUGGCUAACAAGCCAGUACAAUGAACAGAAAGAUAAGGUAGAAUAGAGAAAAUAAGGAAAGAGAGAGAAAGUGAUAUCACACAAAAAUGCACACCACAUUCAUUCUACUACCACUACUUAAUAUCCCUUCAUUUACUAACAAACUGGGACCACAUUGGAUGACUCCCUUUGAUCCUGUAGCUACGUCUCAAUCCCUUCUUAUUUGCCAUGUCAUCAUUUGCACCACUUUUAUCAAUUGGGCCUUCCACACUCAUAACAUUACCCUCCCCUUCAAGAACAAUCUUGUCCUCAAGAUUGAGAUUGGGGUAGCUAUCCAACAUCUCUUGCUUGUCUUCCCAAGUAGCUUCACUGUUCUGCAUAUCCUUCCAUUUCACUAGCAGUUGCUCCACUUUUCGAUCUCCUCUGAUAAUGUUGCGUACGUUCAAUAUCACUUCCGGCUGUAUGACAGGACCUUCUUCCAUUGUGGUAAGUGGUAAAGGAAAAUAUGGCUCAGUAGUGAGACCCUUGAAGAUCUUCAAUUGGGACACAUGGAAGACCGGAUGAAUACGAGCUGUCUCAGGCAAUUGCAACUUAUAAGCUACUACUCCUACUUUGGCUAUCACAGUAAAUGGACCAAAGUACCUCAUGCCUAGUUUGUUGUUCUUUCUUAAUGCUACAGAAGACUGCCUGUAUGGUUGUAAUUUCACUAACACUUGAUCCCCUACUUCAAAAGACACAUCUUUUCUCUUUUUGUCAGCAUUGCUCUUCAUAACCUGUUGUGCUCUCAGUAAAUUUUCUUUUAACUCAACCAGUAGCUUGUCUCUGUCCAUUAACUGUUGUUGUACCUCUGUGGGAUCAGAAUUAUUAACACUAUAACGUGUUAACAUAGGGGGUUCCCUGCCAUAUAGUGCCUUAAAUGGAGACAUACCUAAACUAGUAUGUAAGAAAGUGUUAUACCAUAGUUCUACCCAAGUAAGUGCCUUAAACCAUGUCUUAGGAUUCUUGAAUGUGAAGCAUCUCAGGUACAUUUCGAGACAUUUAUUAACAGCUUCUGAUUGUCCAUCCGUUUGAGGAUGAUAAGUUGUGCUCAUGGACAAUGUUGUGCCUUGCAUUUGAAACAAAUGCUGCCAGAAUUUGCUGGUAAAUACCUUGUCUCUAUCAGAGAUAAUUGACUUAGGCAUUCCGUGUAAUUUUACUACAUAAUUCACAAAUGCCUCAGCAACAGUCCUAUUUGAAUAAUCAGCUUUCAAGGGCAUGAAAUGAGCAUAUUUACUCAGCCUAUCUACGACGACCAUAAUAACAGUAAAACCAAAAGAUAGUGGCAAUCCAGUAAUAAAAUCCAUAGUUACAUCAUCCCAUACCUGCUCUGGAAUAGGCAAUGGUUGAAGUAGCCCUGCAUAAGUUGUAUUAACAGAUUUAGCCUGCUGACAAGUGACACAUGCUUCAAUAAACUUCUGUAUAUGCUGCCUCAUAUUCGGCCAAUAAAAUUGGGCAGUAACUCUUGCUAAGGUUCUAGUCACCCCUGCAUGCCCUCCGAUUGGUGUAUCAUGGUAUUCCUUGAGAAUCUGAUGAAUCAAAUUACUCUCCAUAGGAAUUACCAACCUAUGCUUCCAGUACAAUAACCCUUCUUUCACCAUAUAAUUUAUGUCGUCCAUAGUAUUGUUUACGCACUGUUGUACUAUUGUUUGCAAGUGGGAGUCAUUGCCAAUUUCUUUCUUCAAUUGCUCUAAAAAAUCAUGUUCAGGUGCAGACCAUGAAAGAGACAUUACUCUUGACAGAGCAUCGGCUGCUUGAUUGUCCUUACCUGGUUUAUAUUCAAUUUGGAAAUCAAAUCCAAUGAAUUUGUGAAGCCAAGCUUGUUGUUCAGGGGUUUGUAGAGAUUGAUCCAACAAGCUUUUCAAACUUUUUUGAUCAGUUCUCAGUAUGAAUUUAUGUCCAAGGAGAUAGUGUCUGAACUUGGCUAAGGCAGUAGUGAUAGCAUAGAAUUCUCUGGUGUAAGCUGACUGAAGUUGCAUCCUAGAUGCCAUUUUUUUGGAGAAAUAAGCUAUGGGAUGACCUCCCUGACUUAGUACAGCUCCUACCCCUGUACCAGAGGCAUCUGUUUCCAACACAAAAGGUUGAGAGAAAUCAGGCAACACAAGCACCGGUGCUGUAGUAAUAGCUUGCUUCAAUGUGUCAAAAGCUUUGGCAGUACUUUCAUCCCACUUAAAUGCAUCUUUUUUUAACAAAUUUGUUAAAGGACCAGCUAUAGUAGCAUAAGAUCUGAUAAAUCUUCUAUAGUAGCCAGUGAGUCCCAAGAAUCCCCUUAAUUGUUUCAAAUUCGUUGGAGUAGGCCAUUCCAACACAGCUAUCACUUUAAUCUUGUCCAUUGCCACACCAGAACCAGACACCACAUGACCCAAAUAUUCAACUUCGGUUAUCCCAAAUGAGCAUUUAGAUAGCUUUGCAUACAACACAUUUUGGCUUAAUAUCUGAAAUACAAUUUCCACAUGUUUCAAGUGAGAAUGCCAAGAUGGACUGUAAACCAAAAUGUCAUCAAAAAAAACCAGAACACAUUUUCUCAACAGUGGUUGAAACAAUUGAUUCAUGAGUCUCUGAAAUGUAGCAGGGGCACUUGUGAGCCCAAAUGGCAUCACCAACCACUCAUAGUGACCUUGAUGAGUUCUGAAUGCUGUUUUCUGUCUAUCUUCAGGCUUGAGGAGAAUUUGAUGGUAUCCAGAACGCAAAUCCAACUUUGUAAAGUACUGUGCACCAUGUAAUUCAUCAAGUAGUUCAUCCACAGUGGGCAUAGGAAAACUGUCCUUGAUUGUUAUGGCGUUCAAAGCUCUAUAAUCUGUGCAACAUCUCCAUGUCCCAUCCUUCUUCUUUACUAGAAUGAUUGGUGAAGAAAAAGGACUCAAACUAGGUUGAAUAAUUCCUUCCUCUAACAUAUCCUGCACCAUUUUUUCGAUUUGUUCCUUUUGACUAUGCGGAUACCUAUAAGGCUUCACCUUCACUGGUUGUGCUCCUUCUUUCAACAAAAUCUCAUGGCUCAACUCUCUGUUAGGAGGUAAUCCUUUGGGUAUUUGAAAUAUCUCUCUAUAAGUAUGCAACAAGGUGGCCAUUUCUGGUUCAAUAUUCACUGGCAUUCCUUCCCAAUUAUCUUCUAUAACAGCAGGAUCAAUUUUUUGUAUGGUGAAUAACUCAGAAAUUGCAUUCAUGUGUUGUAGCCUUCUAAAAUGAUUCAAUUGGGACACUGCAGGUUUGUUGUCACUUUCCCCUUGCAACGUCACAAACUUGCCAUCCAUAUAAAACUUCAAUUUGGAUACAGAAUAAUCAGCUACAUGAGGCCCUAAAGAAGCCAACCAAGGAGCUCCUAGGAUCACAUCAGAUCCUGCUACGGGUAGCAAGUAAGCAGGGACUGUGAUGUCUAUGUCCUGCACUUUUAAUGACAGCUUUCUAACCACACCUUCUGCUUUCAUGUGUUGACCAUUACCAACCAGGACAUUGCAUUUGUCAGUAUGUUCAAUAGGUAAAUUGAGACAAUGAACAAUUCUAGGUUGAAUGAAACUCUCUGAACUACCUCCAUCAAGUAAAAUAGAUACACUAAUAGGACCAAUGUAUCCCUUGAAUCGAAUUACUCCCAUCCCCGUUGCUCCCUUCAAAGCAUUAAGGGAUAGAUGGUGCUCUGCUACUUCUUGUGUUUCUGUGUCACUGGUCACUGCUGUUUGGCUAGGUGUAUCAGGAGGAUCAAGGUCAUCAUCUAAUUCAAGUAGCAUCAAUUGUUUGUUAGGACACUUGUGAGAAAAUGAAAACUUAUCAUCGCAAAAAUAGCAUAGGCCCUUCUCUCUUCUCAAUUGCAUCUCUGCAGGUGAAAUUCUCUUAAUUGCAGGGUUCUUUUGAAGGUGGCUCAUAGGUCUCGUUGGUGGUGUAGGGAGUAAGGGUAGGUUGGGGGCUUUUUCAAUAGUUUGAUUUUGAUCGUUUCUGGUUGGAUUGAAGGGGGCUCGGUGUUGGUGAGGUUGGGCUGGUGUAUAUGGUUUUAAUGGUUGUUUUGGAUUGAAGUUAGCAGCAAUUUUCUCCUCAAACAGUUUUGCUAAUGACACAGCCUUAACAAUAGAAAUAGGAGUGUGAAGCAUGACAUCUCUGCGUAAUUCAUCUUUCAGUCCACUAACAAAACAAUCAAUUAAAGCAUCAUUGCUGAGACCAUAAACACGGUUAGAGAGAGCUGUAAAUUCCAGAUAAUACUCGUUAACAGAUUUGUUUUGUUGCAAUUUGAACAAAGAUGCUCUAGGACAAUCAUAUAUAGAAGGACCGAAAUCAAGUUCAAGAGCCCUAGUGAAAUCAUUCCAAGACUGAAAUGGGCGAGAUCUAUUCACCAUUUGAAACCAAGGAACUACUUCUUGUUCUAAAUGAACUGAAGCAAUAAUUAAUCUCUCUGCAUCUGGAGUAUUAUAGUAACCAAAAUAUUGCUCAGCUUUAAAAAUCCAAUCUAAGACAUGCUUACCAUUGAAUCUUGGAAACUCCAGCUUAAUAUGACGCACUUGAAACGGUUGAGAGCUCAUACUUGAGGUCGAUUGCUUUCCCACCACUGCUGAUUGAGUAUGACCCACAAAUGUUGACUGUGAACCUACAACUGUUGCAGAAAUCACACUAGAGCUUGAGCCUGAGUUCGUGUUUCCAUGGGAGACAUUGUGUUGUGGUGCUUGCUGCAUGAACCUCUCAAGUGUUGCAGAGAGUUGGUUGAAUCUCAGAUCUGAAGCUGUCUGCAUCGCCUCCAAUCGAUCGAAUCUCGCUUUGUUUUCGACGUUGGAUUUCUCUUGCGCUUCCGCUUGACGACGUAACUCGGUGGUCAAUUCCUUCAAUCUUGUGUUGUCGGCCAUGGAAAGAAUGAAAGCACCAAUGUUAUGAGAUAUCAGAACAAAAAUUGAAAUAAUAAUAAGAAUCAAGCAAUUAAAUGGAGUAUUGCUUGUCCACUGAUUUCAUUCAAUUCACUUAAUAGAAAAAUACUGGAAAUGGCUAACAAGCCAGUACAAUGAACAGAAAGAUAAGGUAGAAUAGAGAAAAUAAGGAAAGAGAGAGAAAGUGAUAUCACACAAAAAUGCACACCACAUUCAUUCUACUAC
rnacentral:lncRNA from 1 species